rnacentral:rRNA from 1 species
UAAUACGUAGGGUGCGAGCGUUAAUCGGAAUUACUGGGCGUAAAGCGUGCGCAGGCGGUAUCGCAAGUCAGGCGUGAAAUCCCCGAGCUCAACUUGGGAAUUGCGCUUGAAACUAUGAUGCUGGAGUGUGGCAGAGGGAGGUGGAAUUCCACGUGUAGCGGUGAAAUGCGUAGAGAUGUGGAGGAACACCGAUGGCGAAGGCAGCCUCCUGGGCCAACACUGACGCUCAUGCACGAAAGCGUGGGGAGCAAACAGGAUUAGAUACCCUGGUAGUCCACGCCCUAAACGAUGACGACUAGUUGUUGGGGGAGUUAAAUCCCUCAGUAACGCAGCUAACGCGUGAAGUCGUCCGCCUGGGGAGUACGGUCGCAAGAUUAAAACUUAAAUGAAUUGACGG